UCCCUGGUUGUCUAGUGGUAAGGAUUCGGGCGCUCUCACCGCCGCGCGCGGGUUCGAUUCCCGGUCAGGGAA